rnacentral:rRNA from 1 species
UUGGUGGGGUAACGGCUCACCAAGGCAACGAUCAGUAGCCGACCUGAGAGGGUAAUCGGCCACAUUGGAACUGAGACACGGUCCAAACUCCUACGGGAGGCAGCAGUGGGGAAUAUUGCACAAUGGGCGAAAGCCUGAUGCAGCAACGCCGCGUGAGCGAUGAAGGCCUUUGGGUCGUAAAGCUCUGUCCUUGGGGAAGAAAAAAAUGACGGUACCCUUGGAGGAAGCCCCGGCUAACUACGUGCCAGCAGCCGCGGUAAUACGUAGGGGGCAAGCGUUAUCCGGAAUUAUUGGGCGUAAAGAGUGCGUAGGUGGUUUUGUAAGCGCGGGGUGAAAGGCUAUGGCUCAACCAUAGUAAGCCUUGCGAACUGUGAGACUUGAGUGCAGGAGAGGAAAGUGGAAUUCCUAGUGUAGCGGUGAAAUGCGUAGAUAUUAGGAGGAACACCAGUGGCGAAGGCGACUUUCUGGACUGUAACUGACACUGAGGCACGAAAGCGUGGGGAGCAAACAGGAUUAGAUACCCUGGUAGUCCACGCCGUAAACGAUGAGCACUAGGUGUCGGGGCCGCAAGGUUUCGGU